rnacentral:rRNA from 1 species
ACGGAGGGUGCAAACGUUGCUCGGAAUCAUUGGGCGUAAAGCGCACGUAGGCGGUCUUAUAAGUCGGAUGUGAAAGCCCUAGGCUUAACCAAGGAAGUGCAUUCGAAACUGUGAGACUUGAGUACAGGAGAGGGUCGCGGAAUUCUCGGUGUAGAGGUGAAAUUCGUAGAUAUCGGGAGGAACACCAGUGGCGAAGGCGGCGACCUGGACUGAUACUGACGCUGAGGUGCGAAAGCGUGGGGAGCAAACAGG